rnacentral:lncRNA from 1 species
CCUUUUUUCUCUAAUCUUAAGUUAAUUAGACCACGCAUUUCUCUAAUCUUCAUUUUUUAGCCCGUUAUUCUCUAAUCUUCUGUUUUUAAGGAUGUACUUAGGUGAGGUUUUGGAAUUUGUGUCAAAUGUUCGAACUCCUUGGUGUUUUUCCAUACACUACAAUGUAAAAUAUUUUGCCCCACAACACCCAUUUAUUUUUUCAUAUAUAAGAUUUAUUAGCUCUUGAAAGGGCAUUUACCAAAAUUUUAGAAGAUUCUUGAUUUUCUUUCUUUGGUUUUGAGACCGAAAUAAUAUCAAUGCAAAUAAAAGGUAAAAGUCAGAGUCAGCCUUUUCCCGCCAUAUUUUAAAUCUCAAAUAUCUCGAAAAGGGGGUCCAUGACCUAUCAAUAUUUUUAGCUUAUUUUUAUCCUUAAAGAGUGCUCUACCUGCUUAUAGUAUCAAUUUUAACUUCUUAAUUUAUUAGUUUUCACCUAACCUCACCUAAGUACAUCCUUAAGGGCAUUAUUUUUUAAUCAUUAACCCUAUCCAAACCCUCCUAUAUUCUUUCAUGAUGCGGCGUAAUUUUUUUUUUUU